UUUUUUUUCUUUCUCGUUUUCUUUUGUUACUACUUCAAUUCAUCAAUCAGGUGGUGGGAAGAAAACAACUCAACAAAACUCGCUCUACUUAACUACCACAGAAACUCCGUCAACCAUUGAUCAACCGCAAAUUAACUUGCUCCAUCACAAUAAGUUCCUAGAAAAAAAAUACAAGAUCGCUGCCAACUUACCUGUAACCUCUUAUUUUCGACGGUGCCGAUUCGACUUGAAAAAAGUUUCAAACGAAGGGGGUUUUGGUGAGUGGGGAAAGAAAAACGUAGUGAGAGGUUUUGAGAGAUUUUUCAGCGAUUUAUGUGAUCAGAUUAUUAUGAUUUCAAAAUUUAAAAUAUGAUAUAAUUAGGUACAAUUCAUCCCAAAUAUUAUUUUUACAUUUUGAAUCAUUAAAUCAGGAUUCUAAAAUCUAAUAAUUAUUAAUUAAUAGUGUUUUAACCGUUAUCACACUUAGGAGAUCCUAAUAAUAUUAGAUCUGUUAAUGUAGCUAUUAAAAAAAUCGGGCAUGGAGACAAGUAUUAGUUUUUCAGCGAAACGUUGGGCUGUUCAAAACAAAAUUGGGCCAGAUUCAUCGGCGCGAUUUUGGACAAUUGGGAUCUUCACCGUUGGUUUAUCUAAAACAAAAUUGGGCCUUAAUUUAAGAGGGUUACUAAACGACGCCCUGGACUUCGAAUUAAACGAUGCCCUACAUUCGUUAUGACCUAAACGUCCAUUUUGUAAAAAUAAAAAAUUUACUAUUUCGAUCCAAAAAACUCUUNNNNNNNNNNNNNNNNNNNNNNNNNNNNNNNNNNNNNNNNNNNNNNNNNNNNNNNNNNNNNNNNNNNNNNNNNNNNNNNNNNNNNNNNNNNNNNNNNNNNNNNNNNNNNNNNNNNNNNNNNNNNNNNNNNNNNNNNNNNNNNNNNNNNNNNNNNNNNNNNNNNNNNNNNNNNNNNNNNNNNNNNNNNNNNNNNNNNNNNNNNNNNNNNNNNNNNNNNNNNNNNNNNNNNNNNNNNNNNNNNNNNNNNNNNNNNNNNNNNNNNNNNNNNNNNNNNNNNNNNNNNNNNNNNNNNNNNNNNNNNNNNNNNNNNNNNNNNNNNNNNNNNNNNNNNNNNNNNNNNNNNNNNNNNNNNNNNNNNNNNNNNNNNNNNNNNNNNNNNNNNNNNNNNNNNNNNNNNNNNNNNNNNNNNNNNNNNNNNNNNNNNNNNNNNNNNNNNNNNNNNNNNNNNNNNNNNNNNNNNNNNNNNNNNNNNNNNNNNNNNNNNNNNNNNNNNNNNNNNNNNNNNNNNNNNNNNNNNNNNNNNNNNNNNNNNNNNNNNNNNNNNNNNNNNNNNNNNNNNNNNNNNNNNNNNNNNNNNNNNNNNNNNNNNNNNNNNNNNNNNNNNNNNNNNNNNNNNNNNNNNNNNNNNNNNNNNNNNNNNNNNNNNNNNNNNNNNNNNNNNNNNNNNNNNNNNNNNNNNNNNNNNNNNNNNNNNNNNNNNNNNNNNNNNNNNNNNNNNNNNNNNNNNNNNNNNNNNNNNNNNNNNNNNNNNNNNNNNNNNNNNNNNNNNNNNNNNNNNNNNNNNNNNNNNNNNNNNNNNNNNNNNNNNNNNNNNNNNNNNNNNNNNNNNNNNNNNNNNNNNNNNNNNNNNNNNNNNNNNNNNNNNNNNNNNNNNNNNNNNNNNNNNNNNNNNNNNNNNNNNNNNNNNNNNNNNNNNNNNNNNNNNNNNNNNNNNNNNNNNNNNNNNNNNNNNNNNNNNNNNNNNNNNNNNNNNNNNNNNNNNNNNNNNNNNNNNNNNNNNNNNNNNNNNNNNNNNNNNNNNNNNNNNNNNNNNNNNNNNNNNNNNNNNNNNNNNNNNNNNNNNNNNNNNNNNNNNNNNNNNNNNNNNNNNNNNNNNNNNNNNNNNNNNNNNNNNNNNNNNNNNNNNNNNNNNNNNNNNNNNNNNNNNNNNNNNNNNNNNNNNNNNNNNNNNNNNNNNNNNNNNNNNNNNNNNNNNNNNNNNNNNNNNNNNNNNNNNNNNNNNNNNNNNNNNNNNNNNNNNNNNNNNNNNNNNNNNNNNNNNNNNNNNNNNNNGUUCACACACAACCGAAUAAGAUCAGGUAUUAUCUGAACAAGAAGUUCAACACUCGUCAUAAUAUGAAUCAGAUUUAUAACGAGUCGUACAAGAUUAGGAAGGAGAAAUUAGAUGGUUUGGAUCCGAUGGAGUGGACAUUGCGUCAAGCUACAGGGCUAGGUUAUUUCGUCCAGUACUUAAAGGAUGAUGAUGACAAUCUUGUUCAUCUGUUUCUUAGCCACCCCGAAUGUGUCCAGAUGGUUAGUUCAUGAUAUUUCGUGAUAAUUAUUGACUUGACUUUCAAUACCAACGCUUAUAGGAAGCCAGUGAUCUAGUUGGUUGGUGUGACUCCGGUGCGGAAGAACUUUAGCAUCGGGGUUGCAUUCGUUGAUAAUGAAAAACCAGAGUCUUAUAUUUGAGUGUUGGAAUGUCUGGAGUUGAUGUUGGGUAGGCGGGAACCUACGACGUUUGUGAUUGAUAAGGAGCGAGGUGCGGCAACCCACUGCAUUUGUUACUGAUAAGGAGCGAGGUCUGGCAGCGGCUCUCCGCACCGUAUUCCCAAAUACUCCUCAUUUACUAUGCAUCUGACACAUGAUUAAAUACAUCACGAGUAAUGCAGAAAUGGCUGAGGCUUUCGUGCAUGGUAGGUGGAACAAAGUGUUGUAUGCACUAACAGAUGCGGAGAUCUUCACGGAGUGGGAGGAUAUGGUAAUGAGUGACUGGGCUAAUGUCGGAGCAUUGAUGGAGUACUUAGGAAGCGAGUGGUUACCGUAUAAGACUCAGUGGGCCCAUUGCAACACCAACGAGGUUUUCCAUAUUGGGUGUACGAGUACGAACAGGGUGGAGUCGCAGCACUCGUCCCUCAAAACAUGGUACAACUCUUCCAAUCAGGGACUUGAUACACUAUUUGAGGGAUAUCAUGCAUCGAUCGAGGGUCAAGUCAUCGAAGUGCAGCGGGCUAUCGAUGAAUCACGAAGCAAGGUAUCGUACUGUUUAAAUAAGUACUUAGUCAAUCACUAGUUAUUUAGGAAUGUUUAACUUAACUAGCUUUUUGGUUUCGUGUAGACUCAUCGUUUCUCGCAUAGACGACCAUUUACGUAUUUGAAAAAUAAAGUCAGCAUCUGGAGUAUUGAGUUGGUGAAUGAGGCGUUAUCCAGUAAGGACGAUUGUGAUUGUGUGAUCGAAGCCACGCACGGCCUGCCUUGUACUUAUAGGCUCGAAUCUCUGGAGCGUGAUGGGGUCGAGCUGAAACCAUACCACCUCCACCACUUUUGGCGAUCUUUGGAAUACCGUCUUCCUGUAGAUAGUGAGAAGUGGGAAGACCAUGACUCGACAGAUUGCGCCAUCCUCAGCGGAAUGGUUCAGACCAUUUGUGAUAGAGGUGGCCCCGCUGUACAGGCCUUGACUUCACUGGUGCGGUCCCAGUAUCAACCAGAAUCUGACGGAAUGAAAGAGCCGAAGAAGUCGGAUGCGCCUAAAGGCCGGCCCCGUGCGCGAAAGACCGAUGGGCGGCACCCUUCGUACCACGAGCAUGCGAGUGCUCAUUGCACCCCAUCUAAGGGCAAGGCCAAAUCAGGUUUGGUACAUGUUACACUAUGCUAUCGGUGUCUUUGUUAUGCGAGGUUUGUAACAUAAGUAUACCAUGUAACAGGUAGCGGAACUGCGCAAGCGGCUAAACCCACCCUAAGCAAGUCUAGAACCUCUAUUCCUAGCAGAGGUGUGUAGUUUUUCCUUACAACAUUUCUUUCAUUGAUGUUGUCUCGUCCGUAGUCGUCCUUAUUUUAUGAUUCGGCAUCACUUUCAGUGCUUCCAUAAAUGUCGUAUAUCCCUGCCGGGCUCUGGCCGUUUGCAACUUCGGUAUUCGAUGUUAUUGGUGACGGCCACUGCGGGUUUAGAUGUGUAUCCCACUCUUUUACCGGCGGUGACCAACAUCAAUAUGUUGCCAUACGUUAGGAGCUUAUGGAUUGCAUCCAUGUGUGCUGGGGACGGUGGUAUCAUAAGGUGUAUGAGGGCGAUCUGGACACUGUCCUUACCAGACUGGGGUGGCUAUGGAUCACACCGUGUGAGAGACCAUGGUGGUUAUGGAAUAUGGACCUUUUCGGAUUCGCCACUAAGCACAAUUGGACGUACGUGGUUUUUGGCUUGGGGGUCGUGGUAUUCCGUACGGAGAGUCAUUUCUCCCGAUGAAAAUCGGGGACACACCGGAGCCGGGUGGUGUGACAUUUCUAGUUUGCACCGGUGAUCACUGGGUACGUUUAUAUCUGGAUGUCCAUGACGGGGUACUUCCAAUCCCGCCGGUCAGUCAAAUGUGGCGUUAUUGGGCAGAUGAUAGUGCGAAAGCAGCAUGGCUGGGCACACUGUACCGUCGGGAGAAUUUAACGUACCAAAUGUUGGUACAAUCUGCACAAUAGUUUGCGCCGGUGAUCACUGGAUGCAUUACAUUUGUGAUAUCGUCUACGCAAUGUACUAAGAUUGUUUACUUUGGUGUUGUUAAGUGUUUUGUAGUAUUGUUAAGUGUUUUAGGGUAUUGUGUAAUAAAUAAGUGUUCAUAAACAAUGAACGGUCACGUUUAUGGUCGGAUGGUAUCGUGUAAUAAAUAAGUGUGUUCGAAAUCUGGUCGCUUUUAUGAUCAAAUAAGUGUGAAAAUUACUGAAGGCUCAAUAGUGCAUAAUAUCAUAACUGCAUAAUAUCAAAAGUACAUAAUGUGUCAAGUCUCAAAACAAAACUACAUAAGUCUCAUUACACAACAUGGAAAGAAAUGAUAACAUAUGACAGAAACGAAGUCGAACGGUACGGUCUCUGGUNNNNNNNNNNNNNNNNNNNNNNNNNNNNNNNNNNNNNNNNNNNNNNNNNNNNNNNNNNNNNNNNNNNNNNNNNNNNNNNUAACACUGCAUCUGAGAUGCUCCACCACCUCUAGGUACUCAGCAUCAGACUCGUACUCCUGUCUCAUCGUCCCAACAAGGUAUGGAUGCAUAUGAUCCAACACCCUGUAAGCUAGCUGCAAAGUAGAAAAGGAAACAAGUUAGCUAUCGGUAUCUGACUCUGACCUAAACCCUAAACCAAAACCAAACGAAGGAAUAAUUACCAUAUCUGUCGGCGCCGGAACACCAGUAGUGAUGAGCCUGAGGAUGCGCGGGUGGGUGUGGCAGUAAUCGCACGCUCAGGGGUUUCGUAGAUCUUCUGUUUUUUCUUCUUCUUAUCUGCUUCUCUCCUAUUAGAAGCAGUAAUCGCACGCUCGACAAGUCGGUUUAUAAUUUCCAAUGACUUGCCCUUCCCUCGCAUUUUCUGAAUUCCAUCAGUCUCUUCUUCGACAGGGUCGGUGCUAUGCUGCUUACCGCCGCCUGGUGUCUUUACCAUUUUUAUUCAGAAACUAUAAUAAACGAAAUUAUCUAAUUAAUCACAUACUUAUAAAAAAUCUAAUCAAUUAAAUUAAUACUAAUUAUCAGAAUUCAUCUAAACCCUAAAUCCUAAAUUCAUCUAAACCCUAAACUAAUUCAUAAAUCGUUAAAACCCUAAACCCUAAACCUAAAAUCCUAAAUUCAUCUAAACCCUAAACCCUAAACUAUAUUCAUCUAAACCCUAAAUUAAAUUCAUCUAAACCCUAAACCCUAAACUAAAUUCAUCUAAACUCUAAACCCUAAAUUAAUUUAAAAUUCAUUACAACCCUAAACCCUAAACAGAAUUUAUCUAAACCCUAAACUCUAAACUAAUUCAAAAUGAAUCUAAACCCUUUACAAUUAAAUAAUUUAAAUAAUGAAGCAGGGCAUAGCAGAAGCAAAAUUCACACACAGAAAAAAAAGCAAAAUGAAGCGUUAUUUUAAUUUACCACCAUAUCUACAGUACAGAAGAAAAAAUAAAUAAAAGCAGAAAAAGUACCCCACAGGCUACGGUGGCGUGACUCCGUCUCUGGCUCUGCGGGCGGCACCUUCUGUGGCGUUUUCUUCCCCUAGCUUUGCACCUUAGCUCAUCCUUCUACCUACUCUAAGCUCUACCUCCCCCGGUUCGUUGGUUUGGAGUGCCAGCUGUCUGAUUCCGGCGACUACCCGGCCAUGACGUCAAUCACUUCCGUCGAACUGAACUACCUCGUUUUCCGGUAUCUUCAAGAGUCAGGUAAGGCGAGAUUUCCCCUUUCAUUGUUCCAUUUUCAAAUGAACUUAGUUAGAACUCCUACCUUCUGCUGCUCACUUCUCAUCUUUGUACGAAUAGAAUUAGGGUUCUAGUUUCGAGACGGGGGCUUUUGAGCCGUCGGUUACUGGACAUUUUCAAUUAGUAAUUGGAGAUUCCUGCAAGAGAGACUGUUUAAUUUCCUGUUCGCUGGAUCAAGGAAGCAUGCACAACCUGCAGACUGUUAAAACUUCGUAGUUCUUCCAUCAGUUUGGUGGUUUUGCGCUAGAACCUUUUGGGAUAUUUGGUUUUGGUUCUUUUUUCCAAUGUCUGUUUUCAUUUCCUUAAUUCUAAUGUCUGUUUAAGUGUUCGUUCUUUUUUCGUGCUCAGAAGUAAAAAAGGCUUGCAAUAGUCAUACAGGGCUAUGGAUUGUUUCUGGUGCAUGAACUUUGAAUUUAGGAUAAUAUGUCACUGUAGUUAGACGAGUCUGACCUAGUGACGGCUGGCUAUAUUUAUUUUCAUACAACCAUGAAAGUUUUUUCCCUCUUGCUCACCAGCAUAAGUUGGUUUGGAUUUCCAUGUGUCCUUUGACAACAUCGGAAAUUAUAAUUGAAAGCUAAAUGAGUUACAUUUAUGCGUUGCCUUUUUCCGUGGAUAAGAGGUUUCUCAGAUCAGAGGUGUUAAUGAAAUACGGCUUACCUUUUGCUUACUUGAAACAUGCAGGUUUCACGCAUUCUGCAUUUGCUUUAGGUUACGAGGCAGGUAUUAAUAAAUGCACUAUAGACGGCAAUAUGGUUCCUCCUGGUUCUCUUAUAACAUUCGUUCAAAAGGGACUUCAGUACUUGGAGAUGGAAGCAAACUUGAGCCAUGUUAGCAUGCUUAAAUCCUUUUCUACUUAAAGAAUGUGUAUUUUUCAUUCCAUUUACAUUUGAAUAUCACUGAUCUAGUCUUAUUUUAAGCUUGCAGAGUGAUGCUGAUGUUGAGGAAGACUUUUCAUUGCUGCAACCAUUGGAACUUAUCACAAAAGAUGUAUGUGAGUUGCGGCAGAUGAUAAAAGAGAGGAAAAAAAGUUUGCAAAAGGAAAGAGAUAAGGAGAAAGAGAAAGAGAAAGAGAAGGACAAAGAGAAGGAUAAAGAGAAAGAGAAAGAAAAAGAUCGAGAAAGAGACAAGGAGAUUGAGAAGGACCAUGAAAGAGAACGUGCAUGCAUAAGAGAGAAGGAAAGACAAGAACGGGAAAAAGAGGCCGGAAAGGACAGAGAAAGGAUAGAGACGGAGAAGGAGCGAGAAAAAAUACAUGGAGACACAACAGAGAGAGGGAUGAUUCCUGACCUCGAGGAGAAGACUAUUGUCAAACAUGGUGAAAAUGGAACUUCUGGAGGUAGCUAACCGUUUAUAUCUUGUGAUGUGCUCUGUUGUUCCUUAAUCCUGUUUCGCUUGUGCAAUGAAUUUUAUAGGUAUAACCACGAGUAAUUCAUGUCAGAAGGAUAUUCAUCUACUUCCUUCUAGUGUUUAGUAUACAAAAAUGAUAGCUAGGUGAAUGUGUAAACAGAAAAAUGUUUGCUUCUGGAGUCUAAGAGCAUUAAAAAAAUCCUUCCUUGCUUUAGUUGUAAGAUGGUGAGUUCCAGGGAAAAAAUAUUCUGAUUUCUGCUUCUAUCCAUUUGUUUAUGUCCUUAUAUCUCUAGCUUCUUCUUUUUGCAAAUUGUUCUUUGUUACUCAUUUCCUCAUUUGUUAUGUUCGAAUAGGGGUUGAACCAAUGGAUAUUUGUACUACAUCAACAUCACAGGCUUGUGAAAUUAAUAGUUCUGAUGUGAUGAUUUUAGAAGGCCAUACUUCUGAGGUUAGUAUCUUUUGAUAGUGUCAUGGGAUUUGAUUUUCCAUCUUCACUUUUUUAGGUAUGUCUGUUUAACAUAUUUUUAUUUCCUUCUUUUGUAUUAGGUUUGCGCCUGUGCGUGGAGUCCUACUGGAUCAAUUCUUGCAUCCGGGUUGGUAUUCUAUUCAACCAUCUAUUUUACAAGUCGACUUCCUGCAUGAAUCUCAAAGAAUGAUGUGGUCUUCCCAUGUGGAUUUUAAACUUCAUAAUGCUUUGUAUUUAUGGAUUUCUUACAUGUGCAUUCCAUCCGUUAGACUUGCCUGGUGGUGGUUUCUGUGAAGCAAUUUCAGCUUGCUAUCUUAUUAAUAGGUCUGGAGAUUCCACUGCACGUAUAUGGACCAUUGCAGAGGGUACGUCUAAAUCUGGUAAUGGUCCGCUAAGUGUAUUGGUGCUGAAGCAUGUAAAGGGAAAAACUAAUGAGAAGAGUAAAGAUGUAACUACGCUUGAUUGGAAUGUAAGUCGUCUUACAGGCCUUAACAAUAAACAUUGUAAUUAGAGUGUGUAUGUUCUUUAGGUUUUCGCGGAUAUUAAGGUUUGAUCCAGUUCUUGUGUCACGUACCUGUCAAAUGUUUUUCAGAUCCUGCAUAGCUUAUUAUAUUAUUUAAUUUUUUUUCUGCCAGAGUUUCAAAGUUUUUACCUCGUGUAUCUUUCUGGACGUGUGGUCCCUCUAUGUUCUCCAGUCCCAGUGGAUAUAUGCCAAUACCAAGUAGUUUUUAUUUUCUCGUACGGGAAAUUGAUUUUUGUCUUUCUGCUUGCAGGGUGAGGGAACGUUACUUGCAACUGGUUCAUAUGAUGGGCAAGCCAGAAUAUGGAGCACGGACGGUAAGGUGGCUAGCUUCUGUUCUGUAUCAACGAUGAGGCCACAGUAGCACCAGAAUCGAUAACUUGCUAAAUCCCUGCUCUGUGUGAUGCUAAUGCUUAUAACUUCAUAUGGAAAAAUGAAACACCCUAAUCUUUUCUAACAGUAUAUUACAAAACUGCCCCAAGGCGGACAAAUGACUCAAUAAUAUUAGUCAAAGUUCAAAGUUAUCAAACAACCAAAGCAGUCUCAAGUCCAACUCCAAGGGAAACAUAGAAUUCUCUGCGUCACCAAUCACUCUUCACACUCUUAGUUUUGGGCCAUUCAAGCUGCCUGUCUCUCUGGCUCGUGAUGCAUGACUCGGCUCCCUUCAAUUUUCAGUAUCUUAAAUAAAAAAUUAAGUUGUUUGACGCAGGUUCAAUUUAGAAGCGUUGAAAUUUUAAGCAACGUCUUAACUGGAUUUUCAGGAGCUCAAAGUUAGUUGGUUCUCAAUUCUCAUGUAAUUUAUCCUUUCGGCUUAGUCGAUGUAGGUGUAUGAUAAUUAACUUUUUACUUGAGAGUAUUACUUUUAGCUGUGACAGUGCACUUUGACUCCACUUAUAAAUGUGAUUCUCACUAUCGUUCUUAUUAUUGGAUUCAGGUGAUCUGAAAAGUACUCUGUCCAAACAUAAGGGACCUAUUUUUUCUCUGAAGUGGAACAAGAAGGGAGAUUUUCUUCUGACUGGGAGCUGCGACAAAACUGCAAUAGUGUGGGAUGUAAAAGCAGAGGAAUGGCGUCAACAGUUUGAGUUCCAUGCAGGUACUCAUCGUCCCAACUCUCUUCCACAUUUGAUGUACUAUUUAUUGUUACUAUGUGAAACCCUCUUUGUUUUUGGGGAUGGACAUAUUAGGUCCCAUACUUGAUGUUGAUUGGCGCAACAAUGUUUCAUUUGCCACAAGUUCCACGGAUAAUAUGAUAUAUGUUUGCAAAGUUGGUGAGACACGGCCCAUCAAGACAUUUUCUGGCCAUCAGGUUUGUCUUGUAACUGAAUUUGUGUCAUUGGGUUUUCUUAUAAAUUAGGAAAAAACGGUUUAUGUGAAAAUUGAUUGUAGUCUGGAAUACAGUGUGGCACAAUUGCACAAGUGUUUAUUAUAUAAUAAUCUAGGAAAAGAUAAAAAUGGAAGAAAUAGUUAAACUUGUAGCACAGUUCUGUAAUUGAUAAUGUUCGACUCCAUGUCUGGGUACGCACCACACUUGUUGCUUUUGCUGUCAAAUUUUCGCUGUAGUACCACCUUUUUACAUCUAAUGGUGAGAGCCUUGGAACUUACAGUUUAGUGUGUUUGAUUACAAUGUGCAUCGUGUCAAUUUCUCGUGUUCCUGGCAUCUUCUGGCAUGCGUGCUCUGAUGGUGCACGUCUGUCCUUUUCAAUUCAGAUUAAAUUAUUAAUUUUAUUAAUAUGCCUGAACUUGCUCUCUGCCUACUUGAAAUUUUUGUUCUUUAUGAUGGCCGGGUGUGUAUUAUGUAAUGCCUAUGAAUGAUAUUUUCAAGGUUUACAGGAAAAUGGGUGUAGUUUCACUGGCAACAUAUAGUCCUAAUAGCAGAUGCUUUUGUUGUCUGACUUCAGGGGGAGGUUAAUUGUGUUAAAUGGGAUCCAGCGGGCCAACUACUGGCAUCCUGCUCUGAUGACAUCAGUGCUAAGGUUAUAUUUUAUUUUAUUCUUAUUGUUGGGCAUUUUUGCUAUUUGGACUUGUAGGAAUAACUCUAAUCAUUCCUAAUUAGUAGACUCAAUAGGAGAUAUAUUUAGUUAUUUGUGUAGGAAAAAACUUCCUUAUGUAAGACUCUUAUUUAUGGUAGGAGUCCUUUUCUUAUUUAUGGUAAGAGUCCUUUGCUUCUAGGGUGUAUAUACCCAUCGCCUUUUCUUAUCUCCUGUCUCUUUAUUUACCUCUAUUCUAAAUAUAGUAUCAGAGCCUCUCUGUGGUAUUCUCUUCCGCUUACUCUAAACCCUAAUCAUUCACCAUGACCAAGAACACGGUUGAUAGCAUCGUGACUUCUGACGACGAUAGCAGCUCCAAUAAUUCUGGAGUCAUGUCGAUCCCACCAAGUUCAUUUGAUAAUUCCUAUCCUGGACGAGUUAUGAUUUAUCCUCUUGAUGGUAAAAAUUACCUCCACUGGUCUUCUUCCGUCCGCAUCUACAUCAGCGGCUGUGGUAAAGCUGGUUAUCUUCUUGGAACAGCGAAGAAACCAUUUGAAAUUGAUCAGAAGUUUGAGCAGUGGGACAAUGAAGAUCACCUUGUUCGCAGCUGGCUUAUUUCCACCAUGAUACCGAAGAUAGGCGAAAUCUAUCUUCUUCAUCUGUCGGCCAAGUCUAUUUGGACCAUCCAAAAAAGACUUAUUCGACGAUGGACCACUCCUCUGCAUUGUUAGAGAUCGAAAUUAAACUGUAUGAUCUCAAAUAGGGAAGCAUGGGUGUGAAGGACUACUAUAAUUUUGGAAAAAAUACUAAAGAGCUCAAGGUAACUCUCUUACCAAUCACUCUAAAUCUCCUCAUCAAUAUACUUGGAUUCUAGACUCUGGUGCUUCAGACACAAUGACUGGUUGUCGAGAAUUAAUCCAUGAUCUUCAACCUUAUCCUCGGAAAGGAGGGGUUUGUGUAGUCAAUGGGGGAAUUGCCCCAGUUACAGGUAUAGGUUAUAUUCGGCUACCUGACAACCUUAUCAUCUCUCCAGUACUAUAUGUCCCUCAAUUAAGCUGCAAUCAUAUUUCUGUCCGGUAGUUGACCUCAGAUUUCAAUUGUGAGGUUAGAUUCUUCCCUUUUGGUUGCCACUUGCCGGAAGUGGGAUCGGGGAAGACGAUUGGAGUUGUUGAACUAUCAAAAGGACUAUAUAUCUUCAAGGAUGGUUUGGACAAGGACAUUCAGAAGUCAGCACAUCAAAUUUCUAAAAUAAAUGAUUGUAGUGAUUAUGUUUAUCUUUGGUACUAUAGACUUGGACAUCCAAGUUUUAUGUACCUUUCACACUUCUUUCCUACAUUAUUUCGUAAUACACGGGCUUAAUUUUACAAGUGCGAAGUGUGUGAAUUGGCUAUGCAUACUGGCUCCACAUAUCCUGUAAUAGGUUAUCGACCCUCUCAACGCUUCUCAAUGAUUCACAAUGAUAUUUGGGGCCAUAUGAAAGUCAAGAAUCUAAAUGGAGCUCAAUGGUUUGUCACGUUUAUUGAUGAUCAUUCUCGGCACACUUGGACUUAAUGAAGGCCAAAUCGGAGACUAGUUCCAUAUUUCAAUACUUCUAUUACAUGGUGCAAACCCGGUUCAAUGCCAAGAUUCAAAUAUUGAAAACUGACAAUGCUAAGGACUACGUCAACACCGUUCUUGGUCAGUUCCUUGCCAAAUAUGGGGUGGUGCAUCUAAGCUCGUGUGUUGAAACUCCUCAGCAACAUGGGAUUGUCGAACGUAAAAAUAGACACCUUCUGGAUGUUGCUCGUGUCUGCAUGUUUGCUAGGCAGGUUCCAAAAUAUUUAUAGGGAGAAGUAGUCUUGACGGCCACUUACUUGAUCAAUAGGAUGCCUAGCAAAGUUCUUGAUUUCAUUCGUCCUCGGCAAAUUCUUCUUGACCGUUAUCCUCAAAUGGCCAGUUUAUCUUCAAAUCUUCCACCCCGGAUAUUUGAUUGCACUGCCUUUGUUCACAUUAACCCGAACCAUCGUAGCAAGUUUGAUCCGAGAGCUCACAAGUGUGUCUUUAUUGGGUAUUCUCCUCACCAAAAAGGCUACAAGUGCUAUUCUCUCAUUACUCGACAAACGUACAAUACUCGUGACGUUACCUUCUUUGAAACCCAAUAUUUCUUUCACCACACUGAGUUCGAUGGGAAGACUACUUACUAGUGACUCUCAAACUCCUUUGUGGGAUUCAUACCAUUAGAGGAUAAUACUACCGUUCAUUCUACUGAAAACACCAUUAAUACAACUCCAAAGUCUAGUAUUACUGCUGCUCCUAAACCAAAUGAUACUCCUACUGUUUCUGAAUCAGUUGCCUCUGGCUCUUCCAAAUCCAUUGAGGCUACGUCUGAACAACAUUCUGAUAAUCAUCAACCUGAAUUACUUGUUUACACUCGUAGGCCGAUGAUUGAUAAUCUUGCUUAUGAACCGAAGGAAACUGGAGAGCCCGAUGCUGUUAUUCCAAAAGUUUCAAUCCCUAGGUUUGAUACUGAUCUAGAUAUACCCAUUGCUAUUCGUAAAGGUGUCCGAAGUUGUACUGAACAUCCAAUUGGAAACCCCAUUUCUUAUGAGGAGUUGAGUCCUGAGAAUAGAGCGUUUAACACUUCUCUCGAUGAGGUUGAUGUCCCUAAAAAUAUCAAAGAAGCCUUACUUGAUCCAAGAUGGGAGAAGGCAGUCGGAGAAGAAUUAAGUGCCCUCAAGGAAAAUCACAUUUGGGACUUAGUUAGUCUUCCUCCCAACACAGAUGCAUAGUUGACUAUCGAUGGGUGUUUACCAUCAAAUAUAAAGCGGAUGGAUCGAUUGAAUGAUUCAAAGCUCGUUUGGUGGCCAGGGGGUUCACACAGACUCAUGGCAUUGAUUAUGAAGAAGCCCUUAGACCAGUUGCAAAGCUUAAUACUAUUCGAGUUCUUCAUAGUCUAGCUACCAACCUAGAUUGCGCUCUUAAUCAGCUUGAGGUAAAGAAUGCUUUUCUCAAUGGAGAAUUGCUUGAAGAAGUUUACAUGAAUCCUCCUCCUGGGUUUCCUUCGGAUGGAAGAGAGUGUAAAUUGAACGAUUUGCUAAAGCUGUCAAGUCGGCAGGAUACACUCAAUGCCAAUCGGACCAUACAAUGUUCGUAAGGCCCUCAGAUACAAGGAAGAUUGUUGUCCUGAUAGUGUAUGUGGACGAUAUCAUCAACACUGGGAAUGGCCCGCACGAGAUAAAUCAGUUAAAGCAGAGACUUGCAUUAGAAUUUGAGCUCAAGGACUUGGGAAAUCUAAGGUACUUCUUGGACAUGGCGGUUGCUUGCUCUGAAAAGGGUAUUGUUCUCUCUUAGAGGAAAUAUGUUCUUGAUUUGUUGAAGGAAACAAGAACGCUGAAUUGCAAACCCCAUGAGCACUCCGAUAGAACCGAAAAUAAAUUCAGCGAAAUGAAGGAAUUGCUACAGUUGACAAAGGGUUUUAUCAACGUUUAGUAGGUAAGCUCAUUUAUCUGGCUCAUACUCGUCCAGAUAUAUCAUACUCAGUUGGGAUUGCAAGUCAACAUAUGCAUAAUCCCAACGAGGAACACUUAGAGAUGGUUUACCGGAUUCUGAAGUAUCUAAAGUUUACCCCUGGACAUGGCCUAUUCUUCAAAAAGCAUGAUCACAGAGGCGUCACUAUAUACACUGAUUUUAGUUGGGCAAGUGACUUGACAGAACGAAGAUCAACUACUGGACAUGAGACCUAUGUAUGGGGAAUCUUGUGACACGGAGAAGCAAGAAACAGGACGUAGUGUCCCUCAACAGUGCAGAAGCUGAGUAUCGUGCAUUGACUUCUGAAAUUAAAGAGGGUAUGUGGUUGCAUCAGGUUCUUGGUGAAUUACAGAUGCCUCCUUAGACACCUAUACAUGUUCUUUAUGAUAGUAAAUCUACGAUUAGCAUCGUCUGAAAUCCAGUUCAUCAUGACAGAAUGACAGAACUAAACAUGUUGAACUGGAUCGUCAAUUCAUCUUAGAGAAGGUUACAAAUGGAGUUAUAAAUCUGGAUUAUUUUCCAACAAGUCAACAACUCGUUGAUAUUUUCACCAAAUCAUUGUCAAGGUCUACCUUAGAAGAAUUAAUACACAAGCUGGGGAUGUUCAACAUUUACACCACACAGUUUGAGGAGUGUAGGAAUAACCCUAAUUAUUCCUAAUUAGGUAGACAGAAUAGGAGAUAUAUUUAGUUACUUGUGUAGGAAGAAACUUCCUUAUGUAAGACUUCUACUUAUUUUUCCUACUUAUGGUAGGAGUCCUUUGCUUCUAGGGUAUAUAUACACAUCAGCUGUUAGCCUAUCUAAUAACAAGAAUCAAUAAUUCUCUUUCUAUUUCUUCCGUCUCUUUAUUUACCUCUAUUCUAAACAGGACUGCAAACUCUGACCUUAGCUGUCAUCCCUUGCAUUCAUGUUUGAAAGGUUUUAUGUUCCAUUGCAUAUUGUUUGUUCAGUCAGUACUUGAAACUUUAAGAAAAAUGAUGCAGAUAUGGAGUAUGAAGCAAGAAAAGUAUGUUUAUGAUCUGAGGGAGCACACGAAGGUGGUUCUGAAAUUUCAUAUUUCAUAGUAAGUUAUUGAGUUGAUGGAUUAUCCUUCCAACUGUAUUGUUUGUUAAUGUGAGUUUUGCACAUGUAAAUCCCAAAUAAAAGUUGCAAAACGUAGUGUGGUGUAUACAUUAUUAAAGCAAUGUAGUAAUUGUUGCUGCUGCUAAUACGAGUGUUUUGAAGGGAUCCUGUAUAUUCCGUGGCAUUCAGCCCCAACGGGGAGUAUCUGGCAAGUGGUUCUCUUGACAGAUGCAUAAACAUCUGGUCAUUGAAUGAUGGAAAGAUAGUGAAGAAAUACACAGGCAACGGAGGCAUCUUUGAAGUUUCUUGGAACAAAGAAGGCGACAAAAUAGCUGCUUGUUUUGCCAAUAAUACCGUCUGCGUUUUAGAUUUCAGAAUGUGAGUGAGUAGGCUGGCUGGCUCAACUAUCUCAGGGAUCAUUCUGUUCAGUUCACUGUAUGGCUCUAUAGUUAACCAAAACUUUCAUAGUGUUUCUAGCUUGUAGUGCACACCUAACAGUUGUAAGUAAAGCUAAUAGUUGUCUUCAAUUGUGAGUAAUGUCAUCUGUACAAUGCUUUUUAUAAUAUUGUAUGCUUCAAAGUGUUAGUUUACAUAAGAACAGCGAACGGAACGAGGUAGCAUCUUAUACAAUGUAUAGAAAGUAUCGUCAUGUAAACUCACUGCUUCUCAAAGUAUCUUAGCAGCAUUGGCGAUAAUGUGGAAUCCUGAGUUACCAGUAAUCCCUGCAAGAACAUGACCCAUCCUGAAAAUGGUGGAAACGAUUACGAUCUCUCAUAACAAUCUUUCGUCCAGUUAUCUUAGAGAUCAACUUUGUAACAGUGUGGCAAUCUCGACAUACCCUCAGGUUCUUCACAAUCCGUAUUGUAGUCCCAGGUUUAGUACUGAUCAGCCCAAAGGCUGUAGCGAGUCUUUCACUGUGAGCUCCGAGUGACUGCCCCUUCUCUGCUUCCUCUAAAUCGUGCAAUACAGUGUCCAUUCUAGGGUUAUGCCCAUGAGCUUUAGCCCAUUUAUUCAUUUCUUCUACCAUAUUAUGAAUGUCUCUGCUCUUCGGAUGCCUCCAGUCCCCAGCAACGAACUCGUGCACUUUAUUCUUCACUUCUAUCGAGCUGCAACCAUGCUCUUUCUCUACUCCUUUUUCUCUCAUCAAUUUCCUCACCCCGGCUAAUCCUUCCCAGUCGUUUGCCUCGGCGUACAUGUUGGACAUAAGCACAUAUGUACCAGGAUUCGCAAGAUUCUGGUUGAUCAUAAAACGGGCAAUCUCCUCGCCUAAAGCAACAUUACCGUGAAUUCUACAAGCACCCAACAGAGCUCCCCAUAAGAUAACGUCUUGUUCUAUUUCCAUGUUCUUGACGAGCUCGUAAGCUUCUUCUAGAUGGCCGGCACGACCAAGGAGGUUUACCAUGCACCCGUAAUGCUCGAUCCUUGGCUCAAUACCGUAUUUUUCUGCCAUGGAAUAGAAAACUUCCCGUCCUUCGCGAACCAAACCGGCAUGAGUGCAAGCAUUCAGCACGCCAAUGAAAGUUAUAUAGGUUGGUUUGUACCCUAGCCUGCACAUCUCAUCAAACAAAUGCAAUGCAUCCUUGCUAAACCCGUGCAUUGAAUACCCCACUAUCAUUGAAUUCCAGGCAACUACAUCCUUGUAAGUAGUCCUCUCGAAAACCUGCCUAGCUUCCUCCAAGCUCCCACAUUUACUGUACAUGUCAAUCAAGGAAGUGGCGACCCGGACAUUAAUAUCGAUCCCAUGAUUCUCAGCGUACCAGUGAACCCAUCUCCCUGACUCCAGAGCCCCAAUUUGAGAACAGGCAGAUAGAACAGAGACCAUGGAUGAUUCGUUUGGUCUCACCUUUGCCCUUAGCAUCUGCCUAAAGAGUAACAAACUCUCGUAUGGCGAUCCAUAUUGAACAUACCCAUCAAUCAUCACAUUCCAACACACAACAUCCUUUUCCUUCAACCCAUUAAAAAACACUCUCGCCUCCCUAAGCAUUCUAAACUUAGCAUAACAGGUAAUCAUCGCCGUCAUAGAAACCAAAUUCCUCUCAGGCAUAGAAUCAAACAGCUUGCGUGCAGACUCGAUAUCUUCUCCUUCGGCAUAAACGUCCAUCAAGCAAGUCCUCACGUACGUAUCUGAUUCCAGACCAAGUUUCACCGCUUGACCAUGCAAUGCCUUCCCUGGUUCAAGACGGCAAGACUUCAAAAUCGACGAGAAAGUGAAAGCAUUUGGUGCGACGUUCUGGGUCAGCAUUUCGACAUACAACAUGAGCGCCUCUUUGUGGAGGUUGUGGAGGGAAUGUGAAUGGAUGAUUGAACUGAAAAAGAAGACAUCGGGAUUCCGGUUCUGACGGAAAAUCGAAAGCGAGUGGUCAAGGCGGCCGGUGCCGGAGUAGGACCUCUGCAGCUUGAAGGAGAGGAUUGAGUGGUUGCUCAAGUUAUGGCGAUACAGGAAGGCGUGGAUUUGGAAGAGCUGGUUCACGGAUUUGCAUUUGUCAAUCAGUGCUGCAAGUCUUUCCGGGGCUGGACCCUUGACGGUGGAGGGUGGAAGGCUGGCGAUAUUAGCAAGCGAAUUAGUGGGGAAUAGUGCGACGGAGGACAUGGCUGAGGCUCACAACGAGCUGCUAAGAAAAGUGAGAGUGGUUCCUUCGAGUUAUGGAUGUUGUUCGAUAUUGUUCCGGGUAAAAGGCAUAAAAGGUACCAUAGGUACGUUUAAAUAAUGUCUGGGUACAAAUGUAUCAAAAUUUAUCACAUAAGUACUCUUUUUUUUCUUCCUCCGUCCAAUUCCACAAGUUAAUAGACCACAUAAACACUCUAUGUCAAAAGAAGACGCAAUCAUCAGAAGUGUCUUAUAGUUUUCCACUCGUUUGAGAGCUAGGGUUUUCCUUUUACCGGAGAGCUUUAUCUUUUUUCUUCGUCGUCAACAUGCACAUCAUGUGCUGGAAUUGUGAGGACUGGGGCAACCAACGGCUUUGCAGUUCGUCGAUGACCUCGUCAAAACCUACUUCGUAGAUUUUCUAGUCCUAAUCGAUACCCUAGCUACAACAGAACGUAAGGAAACACUAAGGACCAAAAUUGGUUUUGAGCGUUGCCUUGCGGUCGAGGUGAUUGGACACAACAGACGGAGGCUUUGCCUUCCUCUGGCGCACAACUACCAAGCAGUUCUACAAAAUUAUGACCAAAACUCGAUAACCUUUUGAGUAGAUGACGGCACGGGUACCAAGUUGAGACUCACGAGAUUUUAUGGCUUCCCGAAAUGAACAAGAAGACAAGAAUCAUGGGACCUUCUCCGAGCUCUCAGCACCAUGGUCACUACAAGAAAAAAAAUUUGGCAGGGGUUUAAAAGUCAGUUAACAACGCUUAAAACCCCUGCUAAUCGAAUUAACAACGGGUUGACUUCUGUUGUUAAACCAAGUAAUGGUAAACGAAUUAACGGCACUUUUUAUAUUUGCCCUUAAACCAUGAUUAACAAUGCUUUUAAACCAAUGGCAAACUAGGUCCAGUUCAACAGUGGUUUUACCCCUUGUUAAACGGUGGCCAAUUUAACAGUGGUUCCCAACUCCCGUUAAACGGGAUAGUGAUUUUGAGUAACGAAAUUCUAGUUCCAGUUUCCAGAAUAUUAAAAUUUUCAAUUUUCUAGUUUCCGACCCUUGUUGUUUUAGUCUCAAAAUUCGUAUAAAACUCGAAUAUAGUACAAUUUUGCAUUCAUUCAAACUUGACAUUUUAAUUCAAUAAUACAAGUCAUUAAUAAAAGUUCCAAUAAACACAACAGUAAUCAAACAUUUUAUCUAGUAUACUCCUAAGUUCCUUCCUAAAUUCCUUCUUUUCUACUUGGUGACUGAGCAGUGAAGAUUUGUCAUCACAUGGUGGUGCUCCGCAACAAAUAUGAAACCAUUCUGAUCCUUGUCGAGCACCCUGAAUGCCUCCUUCAGCUCCUCUUCUGAGUCGGUGUCCUUCAUUUUACUGGCCCAUAAACGCAUAACUAUUCCCAGCUCCUUGGUGGUGAUGCAACCUGCUGUCAAAAUCACCAUUAAAACCCAAUCAUUCCAUCACAAAAUCACCACAUGAAUGUCAUCACUGCAAUCACAUACUCAAUCAUCUUUACACACAAAAGCAACCAUGGAUACCAUCCACCAAUAUAUACAGAAAUUAUACAACCCAUCAGCAACACCUCUGUAUAAAAUCAUUCAUAGAAACAUAAGAUGAAAGUGUUGGUCAUUAAACUAGUUGUUUGCUUAUAACUAGAUUAGAAGACAGUGAGUCCUUUAUGUGAAGAAUGCCAUACAUGUUAGGAACAAAUUCAUGGUGGUGUCUCGUAAUAUUGUGUUAUGAAAGAUAAACCGAGUCUUCAGAAAGAGCUAAGACGAAUAUAAACACACUCAAGGCAGUCAAUGAAUCCAUUUCGUUAUCAAAUCAUAUGACAUUCAACAUUGGAUUCAAAGGUAGUAAGCAUCUAGGGUCGGAAAUGAUCGAAGUAGUACCUGGGCAAGUUUGCUUUACUCGUGAGAUGCAGAUCCCCAACUUUUCCUUUCUCGAUUGAAACCAAUAGCUCUUAGCUCGAUUAAUUCGUUCUCGUAACUGUCAUUUCACCCUCAGUCCAAGACCAUAAACGUAACUAGAUUAAGAAUACAUUAUUGGAAGGUAAAUCAAAAGAGGACGAUCCUAGGUAGAAACUUACAUGCGUUGACCACUCCAUGCCUAGUUAGGUUUCCUCCUCUGCGACCAGAAAGAGAGGUAAGAGUUAGAAGGGGAUGCAAAAAAAUAGAUCCUGAUAGGGAUCGAGAGGAAAGGAGAACAUAGAAUACUCUAUCUUGCUCGUUUUGCAGGAGGCUGGACCAUCAAGAACCAUGAGCAUCGUAGGGAUUAUUGCACACCUGAAAGAAGAAUCAUAACGCUGAUUGCCGAAAAGGAGAUAGAACCAGAUAAGGAGAUAUCAGCCGAUAUAAUCAGUCCUCCGCUAGGUGACAAUGGAUGAAUGCGCUGGCAUGUGAGUCACCAUAUAGGGAAUUGAGCUUCUACAGAGUUAGUUAGUGAUUAUUGGAUUGUAGUUAGUAGUUUUAUGUUUUUGCCAUUUUCCCCUGUAUAUACUUGUGCUCUUGCACCAUUAAUGAAGCCAGAAAUUUCUCCUCCAUUUCUGCUACUCUUCUCUCCCGUUCGCUCAUCCCACUUCACAUGGUAUCAGAGCGGUAAGCUAAUCCAUCUCCUUGGAUUAUCGUCAUGGUCGACGAUAAGGUCGAAGGGACAGAAGAGUCUUCCGGCGUCAAGGCAAAUCCACAGUCUAAGAAACCUGGCCAUUACUACAUCAACCCAAAUGAGAACUUUGCUCAGGCAAUCACUGCAGUGAAGCUCGGUGGGACAAAUUACCAUCUCUGGAGCCGAUCUAUGCGCCUUGCCUUGAAGACCAAGAAGAAACUAGGAUUCAUCAAUGGGGAACUUCCGAUGCCGGAAGCCGAUGACGUUGACUUCGACGCUUGGGACCAGAGCAACAACACCGUUGUCACCUGGAUCAUCAAUUCCCUCGAUAAAGAGAUCUCUGAGGUCGUCAUCAACAACGACAGCGCCCUAGAACUAUGGAAGGAAUUGCAAGCAAAGUACGGUGAGUUGGACUCCGUCCGCAUCGCUCAGUUUUGAGCUGAAAUCUCAGCCUGUCGCCAAGGUACCUCCACUGUUACUGAAUAUUACAAUCGAUUGAAGAACUUAUGGACUGAGUAUGUCUCGUUCCGCCCUAUCCCCGCUUGCGAAUGUGGAGGAUCUAAUCACACUGGGACUUGUAAUACCUAUGCUGCUGUGAAAAGCCACCAGGAGAAUGACCAUGUGAUUGAUUUCAUCAUUGGAUUGAAUGAUGAACACGAGAAUACCAAAAGUCAGCUGCUUUUGAUGGAUCCACCUCCUUCGUUGAAACUCGCCUCCAAAUAUGCCAUGAAACUCGAGCGAAAACUGAUGGGAGGAGUCACUAAGGAGGCUAAGGGCGUUGAAUCCAUUGCGCUUGCUGGUGCUCAAACAAGGGAAUGGAACCGCGGCAAGGGAGCCAAAUCGAACACCACUCCUGGAGGCUCACCUAACACCAACCUAUUCUGCCGAUACUACAAGUACACCAAUCACAACAUUGAGGACUGCAUCAGGUUAAAGAACAAAAGGCGAAAUGAAAGCUCUGGAAACAAUGGUGGAGGGCACUAGUGCAAAUGGAGCUCUUGGUAAUAACUCUGAUUCCGCUGCUCAGAAGCGUAAUUCUGACGGUCCAUUGCGGUUUUCAACUGUAGACUGCAGUUGUCUCAUCGCACUCCUCCAACAGAAUUCGACAACAACUUCCUCAUCACCCAACGUCACUCACCAAGCUAACCUCAGCUCAACCAGUACUACAUCACAUUCCAUGCCCAUCCAUCCAAACUUUGUUGGUACGGUAAACCUCUCUACCGCUAAUCUUUCUCAUAAGUAAGCUCUAAUUGGUGCAUGGAUAAUGGAUACUGGUGCAUCGGAUCACAUGUGUGCUUUUCUUGUUUACUGCUUUAUGAUGCCCUGCAUAUCCCUUCUUUCUCUUUCAACCUCAUUUCCAUUAGCAAAUUAACUAAGUCACUUCCUGUAUCUCUUUUGUUUGAAUCCAAUAUGUGUAAAAUUCAGGACCUAGCCACUCAGAAGAUGAUUGGUUCUGCAAACGAGUUUAGGGGUCUUUAUCAACUUUGCUCACCCUCCACCCAACAUGCCUACACUCCCUUUGUCGCCACUUCAUACAGCUUACAACCACAAGACAUCAACCUAUGGCAUUGUCGCCUAGGACACAUAUCAAAUAGUAGGGCUCGUCUAUUAGCAAAGUGUAAUCCUUCUCUUCCCCUUGAGACAAUCGAUCACUGUGCUGAAUGCCAGUUUUCCAGACUCAAGAAACUUUCUUUUUUAUCUAGUAAUACCAUUCGCAGUAAACUUUUUGGUCUAAUACAUACUGAUAUUUGGGGUCCUUUGCGCUUUGCCUCCCACGAUGGUUUUUCUUACUUUUUAACCAUAGUAGAUGACCAUAGUAGAGCAGUCUGGACGUUCCUCAUGAAACACAAGUCUGAAACCAGAUCACUGCUGCAAAGCUUUUGUCUAAUGGUGACCAAACAGGUCAACAACUCUGUCUGCAUUGUGUGCAGUGACCAAGGGAGUGAGUUCCACAUGAAGGACUUCUAUUCCACUAAUGGGAUUGAACAUCAAAUGUCGUGUGUGGAACGACAAGAACAAAAUGGUUGCGUUGAACGCAAACAUCAGGACAUUUUGAACAUCGCUAGAGCCCUCCGUUUCCAAGCUAAUCUCCCCCUAAAAUUCUGGAGUGACUGCGUCUUACACGCUGUGCACCUUCUAAACAGACUCCCUACUCCUCUUCUUUCUAAUAAAACUCCCUAUGAAUGUCUCUACGGUCGUCCCCCUGACUACACUCACCUUAGGGUCUUUGGCAGCCUCUGCUAUGCCGCUACCCUCGAUAGGAACCGCACUAAGUUUGAUUCUCGUGCCCGACAAGGGAUAUAAUUAGGUCUUGUUCUUGGCAUCAAUGGUCAUAAAAUUUACGAUCUCAACUCUCACUCUGUGUUUGUCUCCCGUGAUGUUGUCUUUCAUGAAAGCAUUUUUCCAUUUAAAUUCACGUCUUCUUCAACCAUCCAUGCAUCACCUCAUGAUCCUACUGCACUAGUGCCAUUGAUCCUUGCAGGUACUAAUCCCGAAUUUGUAGCAUCUGGGGAGCCCCCUGGCACAUCUGGUGUAGCACCAUGUGUAGCACCAGAGCUGCUACCUAUUUAGGAUCCACCAUCUCAACAUCACUUGGAUCCAGUAUCUCCCUUAUCCACCACACAUUCACCAACCUUACCAACUACAAGUCCAAGUCCACAACCUUCUAUCCAACCUUCAAUUCCAAAACCAAUGCCACCGCCCACUAGAAUAUCCACUAGGCAAACCAGACCUCCUUCUCACUUAAAAGACUAUGUUGUUGGAAACACCAGAACCUCACAUUAUCCCAUUUCCUCUUUCACCACCCUAGAUAACCUCAGCCACUCCCAAAAACACUUUUCCAUGAUUGUAGCCAAUAUCUGAGAAUCACAAACCUAUGAGGAAGCUGUGAAAGAUGAUCGCUGGAAUAGUGCAAUGAUUGAUGAAUUGCAUGGUCUAGAUGUUAACCUAACAUGGGACGUCGUUGACAUCAAAGAUUGCCCGGAUGGCAUUAAUCCUGUCGACAGUAAAUGGGUCUUUAAACUUAAACUUAAGUCUAAUGGAGACGUUGAGAGAUUUAAGGCUAGGCUUGUGGCAAAGGGGUUCACACAAGUAUACAGAGUUGAUUUCCUGGAUACUUUCUCACCAGUGGUGAAGAUGAACACAGUUAAACUCUUGCUGGCAGUUGCUUCCAUCAAGAACUGGCACCUGGAACAAAUGGACAUCAGUAACGCCUUUCUUCAUGGGGAUUUAGAUGAAGUUGUAUACAUGAAGCUGCCAAAGGGACUUCAUGAUAAGUAUGAUCCCCGAAGCAAGUUGUGUAAGCUAAAGAAGUCUUUAUACGGCUUAAAGCAGGCCGGUCAAAAAUGGUUCGCAAAAUUGACAGAAGCAUUGUUAAGGUAUGAUUUCACUCAAUCCCUCUCAGAUUACUCUCUGUUCACCAAGCCAGAUCCUAGAGGGAAUGUUGUAAUGCUGGUGUACGUUGAUGAUCUCAUCUUGUCGGGCAGUAGCAUGGAAUCAAUUGAUGAGGUGAAGACCUUUCUUGGUAAGGAGUUCAAGGUGAGAAACCUUGGACCACUCAAAUUCUUUCUGGGACUGGAAGUUGCAAGAAGCAAAGCAGGAAUAUCGGUUUGUCAGCACAAGUAUGCCAUAGAAUUGCUUAAUGACACAGGUCACUUUGACUGCAAACCGAUCAAGACACCAGGUGAUAUGAAGACACGUUUAUGCGGAGAUGAAAAUGAACCCUUGGUGGACAUUACUGAUUAUAGGAAGUUGAUUGGAAGGGUGAACUACUUGGUGACAACGAGGCCUGAUAUUGCAUAUUCAGUUCAGUAGCUUUGCCAAUUCCAACAUGAACCCCGCAUCAGUCACUUACAAGCUGCACACCGAGUUCUAAGAUACAUAAAGAACGCUCCAGGUCAAGGGUUGUUCUUCAGUGCCUCGGAUUCCUUAACUAUCAAAGGCUAUAGCGACGCUGACUGGGGAGCGUGUCCAGACACAAGGAAGUCCAUCGCAGGGUACUGCACCUUCCUUGGUAACUCCCUGAUCACAUGGAAGGCGAAGAAACAAAGCGCCGUGUCGAAAUCAUCCUCGGAAGCAGAGUAUAGGUUACUGUCUCAGCUUUCGUGUGAGGUACAAUGGCUUAAACAACUGCUUAAUGAUUUGUUUAUCUCACAUGAAGAUGCAAUCGAUGUGUUUUGUGAUAACAAGUCAACUAUUCACAUGGCGGAAAAUCCAGUUAUUCAUGAACGUACUAAACAUAUCGAGAUAGACUGCCAUGUUAUUAGAGAGAGAGUUCAGAAUGGGUUAAUUGCUCUCAACUAUGUGUGUACAGACAGGAACCUAACGGGUAUCUUCACAAAGGGGCUGAGCUCCAUUGGCUUUCAAUGGAUUCUGUUCAAGCUGGGCGUAUACGACAUAUACUCGCCAGCUUGUGGGGGGCUAUCAACCGAUAUAAUCAGUCCUCCGCUAGGUGACAAUGGAUGAAUGUGCUGGCAUGUGAGUCACCAUAUAGAGAAUUGAGCUUGUACAGAGUUAGUUAGUGAUUGUUGGAUUGUAGUUAGUAGUUUUACGUUUUUGCCAUUUUUCCCUGUAUAUACUUUUGCUCUUGCACCAUUAAUGAAGCCAACAAUUUCUCCUCCAUUUCUGAUGCUCUUCUCUCCCGUUCGCUCAUCCCACUUCACAUGAGAAGUUAUAAAGGGUAGAAGAUUGAGCUCGACCUACCAAUGUUGAGGGCGCGCCCAGUCAUCCACUCAUACGCUUUUGAGUAAGAGAAGACGAAGAAGAACCCAUGGAGUCGCCGGACUUGAGGUGGAAGAGGGAGCCCUGUCUCCUCUAAUCGAUUGGGAUGAUGGUUGAGAUCGAGGGAAGGGGGGGGAGCAAUGAUGGCUACGAGAGAAGGGCGAGGGAGAAACCCCACUACUUUGGGGAUAUUUCAGCCAAUGUUCAGACCGGGUCGGACCUCGGACUGUAGUAGAUCCAGAGUCUGAUUUCCGCGCGGGCUCCAGGUUUGGGCCUUAGACCCUCCUCAUGUCCAGCUUUUCUUAGUUCAAGAAAAACAUUAUCUAGCGGCAGAAGUUUAAAAGAGGUUUAUAAACCCCUAUUAAACACAAAGGAUUUAGCAACGAUUUUAUACCGCUGCCAAUUGACUACAAUUUAACAGGGGUUUAUAAACCCUAGUUAAACUUUUGCUGCUAGAUACUGUAUUCGUUGUAAUGGGUGAUAGAACAUUGGGUGUGUAUUGGAGACUUCAACGACAUGCUUACAUCAGAAGACAAGAGAGGCAUUCACCCCCACCCACCACAACUCCUUGCUGGUUUCCAAGAAGCCAUCACGGACAGUCAACUCUAUGAUCUCCCCAUAAAGAGAUACCAAAUCACAUUGUCAAAAUCCUUGGGACAACCCACAAGCGUGGAAGAAAAUUGGAUAGAGCCUUGGUUAACGGAAAAUUUCGGACCUUCUAUCCCCUAGCUAAACUAACGAACCUCGUAGCCCCCAGUUCAGAUCCCUCAUCACUUCUCCUUGAGAUCAACCAGAAACAAGUGAUUCAACCCAUAAGGAAAUUCCGAUUCAAAAAUAGCUGGAGAAAGAAGACGGUUCUACGGCCGAUUGUCAUGUCGGCCUGGGACCCAGGAGGCAAUACACCUUUGGAACAGGACUUAACAAACUGUGCAACCAUACUUAGCGAAUGGAGGAAAGCAGAGAAGCCACAAUUUUGAAAAAAACAUUGAGGCUAAAUGUCGGGAACUUAAAAAAAUCUGAGACCACAUUACUCCUAACAUAAGAGAAUGAAUAUCGAAAGUGCCAAUCAGAAUACAUAUCUCUACUCUCUGAAGAAGAGACUUUCUGGAAUCAACGUGCCAAGCAGAACAGGAUGAAAGAUGGGGAUCUCAACACACGUUUCUUCCACGCUACAACCAACAGACACAGAAAAAGGAAAUAAUUACUGGGCCUUCACUCACCAAUGGGGGGUUUUACAGAUAACAUAUCUCAUAUGGGAGAGAUAGCGAUCCAAUACUUUACGAAACUGUUUAAUCAAAAGGGCCAAGCAGUUGAUGAAGUGGCAGCACACAUCAUAACUCGGAUCACCCAAGCGCGAAAUGAACAGCUCAUCCCGUCGAUCACAGAUAUGGAGUUCAAACAAGCAAUUAAAUCAUUGGGUUCUAACAAAUCACCGGGUCCGGAUGGUUUCAACCCAACUUUCUACCAGGAUUUCUGCGCCAUAAUAGGUUUGAAAAUCAGUAAUGACUGCCAUAGCUGGCUACAUGACGAUAACAUUCCACGACAGGUUCAACACACCAACAUAAUGUUUCUACCGAAAGUAGACAAUUUCACGUCAAUGAAGGACCUCCGACCUAUCUCACAGUGUAAUGUCAGAUACCGUAUCAUUGCAAAAGUCCUAGCAGAGCGAUUUCAAAAGGUGAUACCAAAUCUCGUGCAAGAGGAACAAUCCGCCUUCAUUCACAGUAGAUCUAUUAUGGAUAACAUUAUGAUUGCCUUCGAAUCUCUUCAUAGUAUGACCACGAAACCGGCCGCAAAAGUAGGAAGUGUGGCACUAAAGAUCGACAUCUCAAAGGCCUAUGAUAGAGUGGAAUGGAGAUAUUUGGAACCAGUCAUGGCAAAGAUGGGGUUCUCCUCCAAUUGGAUCUAUUGGAUGUUACUCUUCGUCCGAUCGGUUACUUACUCAGUCUCGAUAAACAACCAAGAAUUCGGCUCUAUCCAACCUAGGCGUGGCCUUCGCUAGGGCUUCUCCCUUUCACCUUUCUUAUUUAUCCUGUGCACAAAAGGACAUAUAGCGAUGAUCCAAAACGCGUCCUUGAAAAAACAACUACAAGGCUACAUAGUUACUCGUAGAGCACCAACAAUUUCCCGUCUCCUUUUUACUAACGAUUCUCUCUUUUUUAUGGCAGCCACGGUGAAUGAAGCUGAGAAAAUGCACAAUAUCUUACAUUCAUACUCUCAGGCUUCGGGACAACUAAUCAACUAUGAAAAUUUUUUGGAAUCCGCUUCAGUAAGAACAUCAAUCAAGGGACGACAGUAGCAAUUUCAAACAUUAUGGGGGUACAUCAUGUCCUCGACACAAACAAAUAUCUGGGAUUCCCUAUCCAACCUGGAAGAAACCACUCAGAAGCUUUCAAAAGCAUCUUAAUUAGAGUCUGGGAGAAGCUAUAAUCAUGGCAUGACAAAAAACUACCCAAAGGUGGAAAGGAGAUCCUAAUAAAAGAAGUGGCACAGGCUUUACCCAUGGCAUAGUAUGAAGGUCUUCCUUCUACCAGACUCUCUAAUCGUGGAGCUAGAACGUAUGUUUACAUCUUUCUAGUGGGGGUGCAAACGCUACUGGAUGAGAUGGGAACGCCUGGCAAUUAGAAAAGAGCACGGUGGGAUGGGUUUCCGUUACCUGAAAGGUUUCAACUUAGCUCUUCCGGGAUAUGAAGACUUUCGAGUAAGUGCUUUGAUGGAGACCAAUACAAAAUCUUGGGAAACAACCCUCUUGGAAAUAUACUUCAAUGAAAGAGAUAAAGCUGUAAUUUUGGCUAUCCCAUCCAGCGUGGCUACAAGUAUAGACACCCCGAUUUGGCACUUUAGCAAAAAUGGAGACUACACAGUUCCGUUCUACAUAUCGUCGAUACACUGAGAGCAUGAUUGACAGAUCAUACCACCAUCAGAUAUGAGAAUGGCGCAAAUAUUGGGAUAUUAUCACCACCGGCCCAUUUAAACACCUUGUUUGGCAGGUGGCAUAUGAUUUCUUACCAACCAGAGACCGUCUCCGACAUUAGGGAGUUAAUUUUCAUGACACAUUCGAGGAAAGCUUCCACCUUUUUCUAGACAACCCGUUUGCACGAAAGGCUCCCCUAGGUUUAUAGCAACUUAAACCUCAAAUUUGUUGUCGAUGCAUGCAUUUAGAAUUUGAUUUAGAGAGUGUAAUCGUCGGAGUCGGCGGCUGAAGCGAGGAAGAGUCUGCAUUAGAAGUGGGAUUUUGAUCUUAGAAACUGAGGGGGAUUGACUGUUGGACAAAGAUCGAGAUGACAAUUUAAAUCUUCCAUACCUAAAUCGCCGAUUGCAAUAAAUGAGAAAGAGGUUCUUGAUUUUUUAAGAGAAAUUGACAUAAAAAGCUACAGAUACAAUGAAUUGAAAAAGAGAAUAUCUAAGAGAUAUUACUACAUCCGGGUCUCCGAGGCGGAUAGUAUAAUACAGGCACCGCUGCUUCCUGGUCUCUGAGGCAUAAACCCCUAUUAACACAGGACAGGCUCGGGUGGGUAGCUAGUUUGCCGGAUUUCAAUGCCAAGCGUACUCCUCUCUUCCAUGCUCCUUUGGGCUACUUUGCUUUUUUACUUUGGCAUUGGACUUUGAUGUCGAUUGCAGAUUCAAGUACUUUGUGAAUUGUAAAUUAUUGCAAAAAUUCAUCAGUAGUAAGUCAGCACCAGUAACUAACCAAAUCAUCAACCUUACACCAAAACAAUCAAAUAAAAGUAGCAGCAACAACACAUCCAUAUUCCUACAGCAGGAAGUCAGCAACACCGCCAUAUUCAAGCAGCAGCAACAACAAACCCUAAAUGAACAGAUGAAAUGGAUUGUUUAUUCAAGCAAGUAACAAAUCGGCCAGUUUAAAGACCUGUUAGUCACUCACCUAUAGAUAGUGCAAAGAUAGAGGAUUAAAAUUUGAAUCCAUCAGCAGAUCCAUCUCCCUUUUUGUAGAUGAGAACCAUUGAUGGAUUGAAGAUGGAUUCAUGGACUCCAUGGAUUGGAAACUGGAAUCACCAACAUAAGGGGACUAAUAGAGCCAUCAUAGAGUAGAAUCUUUGGGGUUUCUUGAUUAUAGGAGAGGAGAAGAUUGAAUCAGUGAUUUGAUUUGAGGAAUCAGCGAUUUGAAUGAGAAUGAUGAUUGAUGAAUUUGAAUACGAGGGUUUCGAAAAUCUGAACACAACCCGAAUAAUUACCCCUCUGGGUCGCUUGGGCGGAUCUAGCCUUCCAGAACCCUGCUUGAGCCCGAUAGAUACGGGUGGCGGGUAAGCCCGGACUCGACUAAUAAUCUGGUCAAACCGGGCCGAGGGCGGGCGGGCUUCUGAGGCACCGGCUUUUUAUGCCAAGCCUAAUUCCAC
rnacentral:lncRNA from 1 species